CGAGUUGUAAGAACCCGACCCACUAGCAAUAAUAAUCCGUUGAGCUCAAACCACCGGCCUAAAAUGCUUAACUUCAGUUUUAAUUACUAGCGUGUAGGUUUCAUAUAAACUGAUCGGAAUUAGUAUCCCAUCCUAUGUGGGAUUGUUGAGGCGUUACACGAAUAGAGUUUUAGCUGAUAUUUGACGGAUCGAUAGGAAUUAAAGAAUGAAGGAUCUUCCGUCUUCCGUUUUAUUUUCUCAUCAUGUCAGAUGGAUUCAAGAUGAAUUAUUAUUUUUUUAUUGUUUAAUCGGAGCGGAUUAGGGUGGGGGAUCAAUGUGGGAGCUCCGCCAACCCUGAAUCUAUUUGUAUCCUAUGUGGCUUAUCUACCUUCUGCUCAACUUAAAAAGAUUUAAAGUCGAUUGUUCUUAACGCAAAUGGCAAAAGGACUUGAGGGUUGGUACCCGAGACUCAAAUUCAAAUUCUAUUUAAUUCAUAUUUUCAGCUAAAUUUAUUUUUAAAUAAAAUAAACGAAAUGUGUAUUAUGCUACUUUUCUCGUUCAAAAAAAAAAAAACUUAAAAGACUUAAAACUGUCGGUGGAAAUCAAAAUUGAUGUGCAUGUACGACAUUAAAUAUACCGUUCGUCAUUGCUGAUGUAUGCUUAUUUGGCUUUUUUUUUUGUUUUUUGUCUUUCUAUUUGAUUUUUAUGUUUUUUUAAGGGAGAGUGAGAUAACUUCUCUAUUGAAUUUUGUGCUUGGGUAAGAAGAUACUGACAUUGCUAUCGUCAGCUAGUCAAACUAGCCUAUUAAUUUUAAGGCGCAAUUACUUACAUAUUCUUAAAAAAAUUUUAACUAUUUUAUUUUUCCCUUUUAAAAGUUAAUAUUAAAAGUAUUUUUUUAAAAAUUUUAAAUCCUUUUAAAUAUAUUUUUAGAAUUAAAUUUUGCUAAAAAAGUGUUAGGAACACUGUUGCUACUGUAAAAUUAUUAUUUUACCUUUUCAAAUUUAUUCUUUUACUGUCAUCAAUUUUUCUUAUUUGCCCUUAAGUUAUGAAUAAAAUAAAUAUUUUUUUAUUUUUAAUUACCGUAGAAAUUUAACUUAGAUUUAAUAUGAGAUUACUUAACAGGCACUAACAAUAGAAGUAUUUUUAAAUAACGGAUAAAUAUAUGAGCGAUAUGUUUGAAAAAAAAUAGGAAAAAAUAAAAUAUUUUAGAAAAUUUUAAAGGCGUAUAGAUAAUUAUCCCUAAUUUUAAAGGUAUAGAUUUGACUAUAAAUUUUAGGCUGGAUUUUAUUAGUUAUCCUUUGGGGCAAUUUGACUGGCAUUAUUUUGUUUACUCCAGUACAGUAAUGUAUUAUCGAAUAGUGCCUAUGUAAAUUAUUUCGUUUGAUUUGUCCUACAUAUUAGUAAUCCUCACAGUAAAGUCUAAUAUUCCAACAAUAUUCUUUUAUAUACAAAUUUAUUUAAAAUUUGAAUCUAAACUUUGUAAUUAUGUUUAAACUUAGAUUUUAAUUUAAUGUUAAUAUUGGUUCGAAUUUUAAAUUUAGGUUUUGUUUUUAAGUUUGAAUUUUAAAUUCAAAUUUUGAUUUUAAAUUGGAAUUACAAAAUUUAAACUUAAGUUUUUGUUAAUUUAGAUUUUUAAUUUAUAUUUUAAAUAUAAAUUUAAAUUUUCAAUUCAAGAUUUUAAAUUUACAUUCAAAUUUCAAUUUAAAUUUCCAAUUCAAUUUCAAUUAUGAUUUCAAAUUUUAUAUUCAAAUUC
rnacentral:lncRNA from 1 species